UUGUUCUGCGUGUUUAGGCAGAAACAUAACUCAGAGAAUGGGGUUCCCGCUCCUCAGCCUAAGCCGGAGGCGACGGUUUCCGCUGCUGCUUCCCUUGGCAGUGACCUGCCACGCCCUGGUCGGCUGCCUUUUGCAAUCUGUUCUUGAAGGAAGUUCCAGCCCAUCGCAUCUUCCUAGAAACAAGUCCGACCACGAUCAGGGUUGUUGUGAAAUAGUAGCUAAAUUAGCCGGGUCUCGUGACUUUUGGACUCUCUCCUCCAAACGCCUUAUAGCUAUGUUGCCUGUUGAUCCUGUUAAAGAAAAUUAUGUUCAUAAAGCGGAAAACUGUAUUUUAUGUAUCUUUUUCUGAACUCCUUUCAAAUCAAGAGUACGUCUUGUAGCAGUUUCAAAGGAAGUUCUAGAAAAUAUUUUGGACCUUGAUUUAUCUGUUUCAGAAACAGAUGAUUUUAUCCACCUUGUAAGUGGCGAAAAGACAGUGUUUGGAUCCAUUCCACUGGCUCACCGAUAUGGGGGCAACCAGGUGCAGUAGUGCUGCAUGCUGCAGGAUCAUGGUUCAGAACUUGAUCAUUAGAAAUUUUGGCUCAUUAUGGUGAACUAGAGAUACUGAGGGGAUUAUUAGACUUCAUCAUACAGGAACAUUAUCCCUCGAUGGAUGUCAAAGAACCUAAUAGAUACGUGAAUCUUUUCCAUUCUGGAUAAUUUAAUGAAGGUAAAAAAAUAUUUUAUAAGCAUGUUUUGGAAUUUUUUUUUGUUGUUUUACGUGUUUGUAAUACUGAUAACUUCAGUUUGUUAUCCAUUACAAUUGACUACGGUCCGUUUGGCUUUAUGGAAGCCUGUAAUCCCGAUUUGGUACAAAACACAUCUGAGAAUGAAAGAAGAUAUAAAAUAGGAAAUCAGGCCAAUAUUAGGAUGUUUAAUUUUAACAAGUUGUUACAAGCUCUAAACCCAUUGCUGGACCCUAGGCAAAAAGCAGCUGUGAGUAAAUCCUUAAUAACAUGAAUGACUCAGAUUCUGAAGGAAGAAAAGGAAUGGCAACUGUUAACCCUAGGUAUGUGCUGAGGAACUGGAUGGCAGAAUCUGCAGUGCAGAAAGCAGAAAGGAAUGAUUUCUCAGAGGUGCAUCUUCUCCAGCAAGUUCUUCAGCAUCCUUUCCAGAAGCAUUCGGCAGCCGAG
rnacentral:sRNA from 1 species